rnacentral:rRNA from 1 species
GACGAACGCUGGCGGCGUGCUUAACACAUGCAAGUCGAACGGUAAGGCCCUUCGGGGUACACGAGUGGCGAACGGGUGAGUAACACGUGGGUGACCUGCCCUGCACUUCGGGAUAAGCCUGGGAAACUGGGUCUAAUACCGGAUAGGACCACUGCCUGCAUGGGUGGUGGUGGAAAGCUUUUGCGGUGUGGGAUGAGCCCGCGGCCUAUCAGCUUGUUGGUGGGGUGAUGGCCUACCAAGGCGACGACGGGUAGCCGGCCUGAGAGGGUGACCGGCCACACUGGGACUGAGAUACGGCCCAGACUCCUACGGGAGGCAGCAGUGGGGAAUAUUGCACAAUGGGCGCAAGCCUGAUGCAGCGACGCCGCGUGAGGGAUGACGGCCUUCGGGUUGUAAACCACUUUCAGCACCGACGAAGCGCAAGUGACGGUAGGUGCAGAAGAAGGACCGGCCAACUACGUGCCAGCCGCCGCAGUAA